AGAUCUCUAUGGAACGUAGCCUGAAGGUUUUGUGGUCAACAUUUAUUGUUCAACAUUCUGUUACAACAAUCAAAUUUAAUGUAGGUUGUCCUCCGAAAUCUUCAGAUGUUUGUUAGAGAAUAUUGUGAAAAGUUACGUAGUGAACAACCAGCAUCAUGCAGGACCAAGGAUCACAGUAGAUAGUUCAGGAAGAAAGAUGUGGAGAAGUUUAAAGUAAGGUGGUGGCAGGAUUAUCCUGUGGGCCUGCUGAUGUUCAGCAGGCGAGGUGAGUGGAGCUACAUCCUUUUAGAGGCUGUGAAAGAUGUGAGCCUGUGGUGGAGGUUUACCGUCUGGCUGUUCAACAAACCUCAACAUCCUGUUAUGAUUGAAGGAGGCAGAGACGAGGAAGAGCCAAAAUGUGAACGACAGAAUGGAAUGUUGAAAGAUUAAUUUAAACUUAAAGACUUGACUUGGACAAAGUACAACAUAUCGUCUCAGGGGGCCGAAUAUGAACAUUCACAUCUUUAUUUCCAAAAAUUUCUUUUCCUCCUCAAUUUUGAAUCAUUUUGUGUUGGUUUAUCACAAAUUCAACAAGUUGGUGUUUGCACUGAGACAAAAUACAAAAAUUGCUCUAGCGGUAUGAAUAGUUUUGCACAGUGUUGUAGUAAUGGAAAAAUCGGAAAUGUAGAAAUGCUCUAACAUGUUUUCACCUGAGUCGGUUUGUCUCGUUUCCGCCUCCUUUCAUUUGCUUUAACAUCAGCUCUGUCAGUGUGUUUCUUUAGUUUCCGUCAGAACAUUUCUUGAUAUUUGAUUUACAAGUUUCUGAACAUCGAGAACCAAAACAUUUUCCUCCUCAGAGAUGGUGAAAUGUUUUCUCUUUUUACAGAUAGACAGUUUCAGGAUAGUAUCUGUAUCGGAGUAAAGAUCCUGGGUCUUGUGAUUCUCUGCUGUUUGACGAUCAUCCUAGAGGGUCGAUCUAGAUCAGUUUUCACCAACAAACAGAAGGACACAGAAGAAGCAGACGACGACAACAGAGUGACUGAGAUCUGAGUUUCAUGAGACUAAGAGAGACGACCUGUUCACUGUUCACACAGCCCAUACUUACUGCAUUCUGAUGUCUGUUUACGUCGCACAGCUGUUCUCACUUUCAGAAGUCUUUUUUAUUUCCUGCUCACAGGUCUAAUCCUAAUAUUGGUCAAAUCUUAAUAUUGGUCUACAUAUUUAACAUCUGAGUUCAACUGAAAUGUUUGAGAGUCAAUUAGAAAUAUUUCCUCAUUAUAUUCUACCUGUCAGACUCACAAUGUCUCAGCCUGUGGUGUUUAUGUGAAAUAAUAAAUGUUUCAAGAAGAUACGUCACAUAUUUUUUCUUUUAUAGCUAAAACUUAGCAAUUGUUUAAUGUAAGGUCUUAGCUUUUCUAUUCUAUUU